CUUGUACUCCCUCCGUCCAACAAAAGUUCGUCAAAAUUUGGAUGUAUCUAGACAUGAAUUAGUAUAUAGAUGUAUUAAAAUUUAAUCAAAAUUGAGACAUCUUUUGUUGGACGGAGUAAGUACAGA
rnacentral:pre_miRNA from 1 species